GAUGAACGCUGGCGGCGUGCCUAAUACAUGCAAGUAGAACGCUGAAGGAAGGAGCUUGCUCUUUCCGGAUGAGUUGCGAACGGGUGAGUAACGCGUAGGUAACCUGCCUGGUAGCGGGGGAUAACUAUUGGAAACGAUAGCUAAUACCGCAUAACAGUAGAUGUUGCAUGACAUCUAUUUGAAAGGGGCAAUUGCUCCACUACCAGAUGGACCUGCGUUGUAUUAGCUAGUUGGUGAGGUAACGGCUCACCAAGGCGACGAUACAUAGCCGACCUGAGAGGGUGAUCGGCCACACUGGGACUGAGACACGGCCCAGACUCCUACGGGAGGCAGCAGUAGGGAAUCUUCGGCAAUGGACGGAAGUCUGACCGAGCAACGCCGCGUGAGUGAAGAAGGUUUUCGGAUCGUAAAGCUCUGUUGUAAGAGAAGAACGAGUGUGAGAGUGGAAAGUUCACAC
rnacentral:rRNA from 1 species